rnacentral:rRNA from 1 species
AUUGAACGCUGGCGGCAGGCCUAACACAUGCAAGUCGAGCGGAUGAAGGGAGCUUGCUCCUGGAUUCAGCGGCGGACGGGUGAGUAAUGCCUAGGAAUCUGCCUGGUAGUGGGGGAUAACGUCCGGAAACGGGCGCUAAUACCGCAUACGUCCUGAGGGAGAAAGUGGGGGAUCUUCGGACCUCACGCUAUCAGAUGAGCCUAGGUCGGAUUAGCUAGUUGGUGGGGUAAAGGCCUACCAAGGCGACGAUCCGUAACUGGUCUGAGAGGAUGAUCAGUCACACUGGAACUGAGACACGGUCCAGACUCCUACGGGAGGCAGCAGUGGGGAAUAUUGGACAAUGGGCGAAAGCCUGAUCCAGCCAUGCCGCGUGUGUGAAGAAGGUCUUCGGAUUGUAAAGCCCUUUAAGUUGGGAGGAAGGGCAGUAAGUUAAUACCUUGCUGUUUUGACGGUACCAAAAGAAUAAGCACCGGCUAACUUCGUG